rnacentral:rRNA from 1 species
UCCCAGACUCCUACGGGAGGCAGCAGUGGGGAAUAUUGCACAAUGGGGGAAACCCCGAUGCAGCGACGCCGCGUGAGCGAUGAAGUAUUUCGGUAUGUAAAGCUCUCUCAGCAGGGAAGAAGAUGACGGUACCUGACUAAGAAGCCCCGGCUAACUACGUGCCAGCAGCCGCGGUAAUACGUAGGGGGCAAGCGUUAUCCGGAUUUACUGGGUGUAAAGGGAGCGUAGACGGCGAUGCAAGCCAGAUGUGAAAGCCCGGGGCUCAACCCCGGGACUGCAUUUGGAACUGUGUGGCUGGAGUGUCGGAGAGGCAGGCGGAAUUCCUGGUGUAGCGGUGAAAUGCGUAGAUAUCAGGAGGAACACCGGUGGCGAAGGCGGCCUGCUGGACUGCGACUGACGUUGAGGCCCGAAAGCGUGGGGAGCAAACAGGAUUAGAUACCCUCGUAC